GGGAAUGUGGCUUAGUGGUAGAGUGCUUGCCUUGCACGCAUGAAGUCCUAGGUUUGAUUCCUCAGUACCA
rnacentral:tRNA from 1 species